UGGCGACCGGCGCACGGGUGGGUAACACGUAUCCAACCUGCCGUCUACUCUUGGACAGCCUUCUGAAAGGAAGAUUAAUACAAGAUGGCAUCAUGAGUCCGCAUGUUCACAUGAUUAAAGGUAUUCCGGUAGACGAUGGGGAUGCGUUCCAUUAGAUAGUAGGCGGGGUAACGGCCCACCUAGUCUUCGAUGGAUAGGGGUUCCGAGAGGAAGGUCCCCCACAUUGGAACUGAGACACGGUCCAAACUCCUACGGGAGGCAGCAUG
rnacentral:rRNA from 1 species